rnacentral:rRNA from 1 species
CUGGCGGCAGGCUUAACACAUGCAAGUCGAGCGGGGAAGAGUAGCUUGCUACUUAACCUAGCGGCGGACGGGUGAGUAAUGCUUAGGAAUCUGCCUAUUAGUGGGGGACAACAUCUCGAAAGGGAUGCUAAUACCGCAUACGUCCUACGGGAGAAAGCAGGGGACCUUCGGGCCUUGCGCUAAUAGAUGAGCCUAAGUCGGAUUAGCUAGUUGGUGGGGUAAAGGCCUACCAAGGCGACGAUCUGUAGCGGGUCUGAGAGGAUGAUCCGCCACACUGGGACUGAGACACGGCCCAGACUCCUACGGGAGGCAGCAGUGGGGAAUAUUGGACAAUGGGGGGAACCCUGAUCCAGCCAUGCCGCGUGUGUGAAGAAGGCCUUUUGGUUGUAAAGCACUUUAAGCGAGGAGGAGGCUACCGAGAUUAAUACUCUUGGAUAGUGGACGUUACUCGCAGAAUAAGCACCGGCUAACUCUGUGCCAGCAGCCGCGGUAAUACACAGGGUGCAAGCGUGAAUCGGAUUUACUGGGCGUAAAGCGCGCGUAGGUGGCCAAUUAAGUCAAAUGUGAAAUCCCCGAGCUUAACUUGGGAAUGGCAUUCGAUACUGGUUGGCUAGAGUCUGGGAGAGGAUUGGC